CACAGCAGCAAUGACACUUCAAAACUCCCCCACUGGCUGUGAAGCAGUUUGAGAGAACAGGGCAAACAAAACUGGACACAGUACUCCAGAAGAGGCCUCACUAAUGUCCUCAACAUGAUGCCCCAACUCCUACACUCAGAGGUCUGAGCAUUGAAGGCUUAAAGACAGUGGAAUCAAGGUUUUACUGAUUGUGGAUGAUCAGCCAUGAUCAUAAUGAAUGGUGGUGCUGGCUCGAAGGGCUGAAUGGCCUACUCCAGCACCUAUUGUCUAUUGGCUUCUCUCCUGACCUACGUGGCAGAGCUGUUGGCCUUGCCAUCAAACAAUCACAGAACCGUGGAGUACAGAAUGAGGUUAUCCAGUUCACACUGGUCUUGUUACUCUUUGAAAGGAUUCUCCCUCAUCCCAAACCCCUGCUCCUUUUCCAUGACCCUGCAUUUUAAAAGAAGAAAUAUUUCCCAUCUUCAUUUGAACGUUACCAUUGAAUCAGCUUCCAUCAGCAUCUUGGGUUGUAGCCGACAGUGUUGGGAAAUUCUCCUCCAGUGCCAGUACAGAAGUAGUGCUGCACUGUCAGACAUGCAGUUUCUCAGGUGCAACUUUAAACUGAGGCCCUGUCUGCUCUUUCAGGAGAGAGCAAACGGUCCCUCAACAAUAUUUGAAGAAGUACAUGGACAAUUCUCCUCAUUUAACUGACCUUAUGAAAAUAAAACAGAUGAUCAGG